rnacentral:rRNA from 1 species
GAUGAACGCUGGCGGCGUGCCUAACACAUGCAAGUCGAGCGAAGCAUUUUAAAGGAAGUUUUCGGAUGGAAUUUGAAAUGACUGAGCGGCGGACGGGUGAGUAACGCGUGGGUAACCUGCCUCAUACAGGGGGAUGACAGUUAGAAAUGACUGCUAAUACCGCAUAAGCACACAGUACCGCAUGGUACAGUGUGAAAAACUCCGGUGGUAUGAGAUGGACCCGCGUCUGAUUAGCUGGUUGGCGGGGUAACGGCCCACCAAGGCGACGAUCAGUAGCCGACCUGAGAGGGUGACCGGCCACAUUGGGACUGAGACACGGCCCAAACUCCUACGGGAGGCAGCAGUGGGGAAUAUUGCACAAUGGGGGAAACCCUGAUGCAGCAACGCCGCGUGAGUGAAGAAGUAUUUCGGUAUGUAAAGCUCUAUCAGCAGGGAAGAAAGUGACGGUACCUGACUAAGAAGCC